UAGUAUAAGAUAAUUUUGCGAACAUUUUGAUUAUGUUGUGUUUCAGUUGCUUGUAUUGCUUACACGUGUGUUUUACAUUGAUUACACAUUUUGCUGAUUACAUUGUUAAGUUUAAAGCAUCUUUUUUUUUAUUGUCACAGCUUGGUUGUAGGAAUCCACAAAAAUCAUCCACCACGAUAACAACAAAAUAGAUAGUGCUUGUUUUAUCCAGGGUUCGUUUUAUC